UCCCUGACUGGAGAGAUGGUAAAACUAAAAAGCAUAAAACAACUCCAUGAACACCAAGGUCAGAGUGAAAGGAGAGGGAGAAGGUGCUUCAGGCACUGGAGCAGACAUUUCCUUACAGGUUGUAGAGGAGAUCACAGUGGACCAGCAUGCUCUGGAAGUGCCAAACAGCUGUUGGAAGGUGAACAGACUUGAGACCACUCUGUGCUUUUCCAGAACGUUGCACUCUGCUCCCAAUUUUCCUUUCCAUUCACUGGGGCAGUGUGUGAGCAGCUUUGUGCUGGCUGGGCCCAACCCCACAACACAUGGUUAUCAGUCUACUUCACCAUGACAGUCAGGAGAGUUGUCUUGCACUGUGAAAAUCAGAUUUCCUCUGUCUGAAAGGCCUAGACCUGUGAGUAACCUGCCUAAUGCCACAGCUACUGAGUAAUGUUUCUUCAGCUUUCCUCAUUUGCUGUUCCCAGGAUUCAUAGGUAAUGACAAUUUUUCCUUGGAGCAAAGCACCACAGAAAGUGUUGUCAUAAUACCACAUGGAAUAGCACUUAGAUAAAAUUACGUACAACCUGUAUAAGCUAUUCAGAUUUAGUUCUGAUUUUCUCUGUUAAGUAUGGGUAAAUUCUUUUCAAACAGGCUAGCAAUAAUUUUGUAAGAAAGCUCUGUCUAUAAUUAAAUCUACAAAAGAGUU